rnacentral:rRNA from 1 species
GAUGAACGCUGGCGGCGUGCCUAAUACAUGCAAGUCGAGCGAAUGGAUUAAGAGCUUGCUCUUAUGAAGUUAGCGGCGGACGGGUGAGUAACACGUGGGUAACCUGCCCAUAAGACUGGGAUAACUCCGGGAAACCGGGGCUAAUACCGGAUAACAUUUUGAACCGCAUGGUUCGAAAUUGAAAGGCGGCUUCGGCUGUCACUUAUGGAUGGACCCGCGUCGCAUUAGCUAGUUGGUGAGGUAACGGCUCACCAAGGCAACGAUACGUAGCCGACCUGAGAGGGGGAGCGGCCACACUGGGACUGAGACACGGCCCAGACUCCUACGGGAGGCAGCAGUAGGAGAUCUUCCGCAAUGGACGAAAGUCUGACGGAGCAACGCCGCGUGAGUGAUGAAGGCUUUCGGGUCGUAAAACUCUGUUGUUAGGGAAGAACAAGUGCUAGUUGAAUAAGCUGGCACCUUGACGGUACCUAACCAGAAAGCCACGGCUAACUACGUGCCAGCAGCCGCAGUAA